rnacentral:rRNA from 1 species
AUACGUAGGGGGCGAGCGUGGUCCGGAAUGAUUGGGCGUAAAGGGCGCGUAGGCGGCCCGGUAAGUCUGGAGUGAAAGUCCUGUUUUUAAGAUGGGAAUUGCUUUGGAUACUGUCGGGCUUGAGUGCAGGAGAGGUAAGUGGAAUUCCCAGUGUAGCGGUGAAAUGCGUAGAGAUUGGGAGGAACACCAGUGGCGAAGGCGACUUACUGGACUGUAACUGACGCUGAGGCGCGAAAGUGUGGGGAGCAAACAGGAUUAGAUACCCUGGUAGUCCACACUGUAAACGAUGAAUGCUAGGUGUAAGAGGUAUCGACCCCUUUUGUGCCGGAGUCAACACAAUAAGCAUUCCGCCUGGGGAGUACGGCCGCAAGGUUGAAACUCAAAUGAAUUGACGGGG